rnacentral:rRNA from 1 species
AAAGGUUUUCGGAUCGUAAAGCUCCGUUGUUAGGGAAGAACAAGUGCCGUUCAAAUAGGGCGGCACCUUGACGGUACCUAACCAGAAAGCCACGGCUAACUACGUGCCAGCAGCCGCGGUAAUACGUAGGUGGCAAGCGUUGUCCGGAAUUAUUGGGCGUAAAGGGCUCGCAGGCGGUUUCUUAAGUCUGAUGUGAAAGCCCCCGGCUCAACCGGGGAGGGUCAUUGGAAACUGGGGAACUUGAGUGCAGAAGAGGAGAGUGGAAUUCCACGUGUAGCGGUGAAAUGCGUAGAGAUGUGGAGGAACACCAGUGGCGAAGGCGACUCUCUGGUCUGUAACUGACGCUGAGGAGCGAAAGCGUGGGGAGCGAACAGGAUUAGAUACCCUGGUAGUCCACGCCGUAAACGAUGAGUGCUAAGUGUUAGGGGGUUUCCGCCCCUUAGUGCUGCAGCUAACGCAUUAAGCACUCCGCCUGGGGAGUACGGUCGCAAGACUGAAACUCAAAGGAAUUGACGGGGGCCCGCACAAGCGGUGGAGCAUGUGGUUUAAUUCGAAGCAACGCGAAGAACCUUACCAGGUCUUGACAUCCUCUGACAAUCCUAGAGAUAGGACGUCCCCUUCGGGGGCAGAGUGACAGGUGGUGCAUGGUUGUCGUCAGCUCGUGUCGUGAGAUGUUGGGUUAAGUCCCGCAACGAGCGCAACCCUUGAUCUUAGUUGCCAGCAUUCAGUUGGGCACUCUAAGGUGACUGCCGGUGACAAACCGGAGGAAGGUGGGGAUGACGUCAAAUCAUCAUGCCCCUUAUGACCUGGGCUACACACGUGCUACAAUGGACAGAACAAAGGGCAGCGAAA